rnacentral:lncRNA from 1 species
CCACAUAGAAGCCCGUUGCAAGUUAUGUCCCAAAUUGAGAGAUCAGCAAGGGAUAUUGCAAUAACUUGAAAAAUAUACGGAGGAUUAAUAUCACAGCAAAUAGAGAUGUAGAAGGUAUCUACAAAUUGAGAUAAAAAUCUAGAUUAUAUUUAUUUUUUAUCUUUUAAACUAAUGAAAGUUAUAUUUAUUUAGCUACCAAAUAAUCUCAAUCAAGGAAUUGGCCGGC